UCAUCGAGCUGUUAAUAAUUUAUUUCUACAAUUUUGUUGCAAACUUUAAGCUUCAUUGGUUGCAAAUGCAUGAAGAAUUCAAGAUAGAAUUUCUUGUUUCUGAAAAACCGAUGUAUGUUUCUGAUAUAGUCGAUAUUUAUCGACUAGAACCCAGAUUAUUUUAAAGGUUAGUUUUACCGUGUUACAUACGGAGUGACAAUAUUAAUAUACCAUGUCAAAUCAGAAACAAUGUACAAAACUCGGUUGGGCAAAACAUUAGUGGCCACUAGA